rnacentral:rRNA from 1 species
ACAACUUUCAGCAACGGAUCUCUUGGCUCUCGCAUCGAUGAAGAACGCAGCGAAAUGCGAUAAGUAAUGUGAAUUGCAGAAUUCAGUGGAUCAUCGAAUCUUUGAACGCACCUUGCGCUCCUUGGUAUUCCGAGGAGCAUGCCUGUUUGAGUGUCAU